GUUAGUCCAGAUUUCCCCAGAGUAUCAAGAAUCUGAAAUCCUGUCAGCAUGUCUUUCCAUUCCUGAAUCCUCACAAAAAAGUCCAUGCAGGCAACAUACGAAAAGUGCAUUAUCUUGAAGAAGGUCAUCAAUGGUUAAAAAACUAUGUAAAGCAUGGAGAGGAGGACUACACGUUAUACAGUGUACACAUUCUUCUGAUGUCUUUAAUCCACACCUAGGCUGCAUUUCUCUGAUUAAACUUUCCAACGAUGUCAACAAAUUCGCAAAGCCAUCUUCUGCGUCGUUUUUCUUCAUUUAUGAUUGCUGGCGAUUGAUGUCUUCCAUCCAUUCAUAUAAUUUCAUCUUCAGUUCAAGUUGCUGAGAAUAACAUGGAUAAAAAGAAUUAAAAAAUAAUUUAAAAUAUAAAUUUAAAAACCUUUAAAAAUACAUGUGUAUGUCGGACUUUUAUUAUUUGCGUUAAUUUGUUUUUAUACCAGCCCUGUGCAUCGAACAU